AGAGUUUGAUCCUGGCUCAGAAUCAACGCUGGCGGCGUGCCUAACACAUGCAAGUCGAACGCGAAAGCCCCGCAAGGGGUUAUUAGAGUGGCGAACGGGUGAGUAACACGUGGGUGACCUACCUUCGAAUGGGGGAUAACGUCCCGAAAGGGACGCUAAUACCGCAUAACAUCCUGCUUUUGAACAAGUGGAGAUCAAAGCCGGGGAUCGCAAGACCUGGCGUUUGAAGAGGGGCCCGCGUCUGAUUAGCUAGUUGGUGAGGUAACGGCCCACCAAGGCUACGAUCAGUAUCCGGCCUGAGAGGGCGGACGGACACACUGGGACUGAGACACGGCCCAGACUCCUACGGGAGGCAGCAGUGGGGAAUUGUUCGCAAUGGGCGCAAGCCUGACGACGCAACGCCGCGUGGAGGAUGAAGGUCUUCGGAUUGUAAACUCCUGUUGCUCGGGACGAAAAGCUUCGACCUAACACGUCGAGGUCUGACGGUACCGGGUGAGGAAGCCCCGGCUAACUCUGUGCCAGCAGCCGCGGUAAUACAGAGGGGGCAAGCGUUGUUCGGAAUUACUGGGCGUAAAGGGCGCGUAGGCGGCCUUCUAAGUCGAACGUGAAAUCCCCGGGCUCAACCCGGGAACUGCGUCCGAUACUGGAAGGCUUGAAUUCGGGAGAGGGAUGCGGAAUUCCANGUGUANCGGUGAAAUGCGUAGAUAUCUGGAGGAACACCGGU
rnacentral:rRNA from 1 species